rnacentral:rRNA from 1 species
CCUACGGGCGGCAGCAGUAGGGAAUAUUGCUCAAUGGGGGAAACCCUGAAGCAGCAACGCCGCGUGGAGGAUGAAGGUUUUCGGAUUGUAAACUGCUUUAGACAGGGAAGAAAAAAGACAGUACCUGUAGAAUAAGCUCCGGCUAACUACGUGCCAGCAGCCGCGGUAAUACGGAGGGAGCAAGCGUUAUCCGGAUUUAUUGGGUGUAAAGGGUGCGUAGACGGAGAAGCAAGUUAGUUGUGAAAUCCCUGGGCUUAACUGAGGAACUGCAACUAAAACUACUUCCCUUGAGUACUGGAGAGGAAAGUGGAAUUCCUAGUGUAGCGGUGAAAUGCGUAGAUAUUAGGAGGAACACCAGUGGCGAAGGCGACUUUCUGGACAGUAACUGACGUUGAGGCACGAAAGUGUGGGGAGCAAACAGGAUUAGAUACCCCAGUAGUC